rnacentral:rRNA from 1 species
GACGAACGCUGGCGGCGUGCUUAACACAUGCAAGUCGAACGGAAAGGCCCUGCUUUUGUGGGGUGCUCGAGUGGCGAACGGGUGAGUAACACGUGAGUAACCUGCCCUUGACUUUGGGAUAACUUCAGGAAACUGGGGCUAAUACCGGAUAGGAGCUCCUGCUGCAUGGUGGGGGUGGGAAAGUUUCGGCGGUUGGGGAUGGACUCGCGGCUUAUGAGCUUGUUGGUGGGGUAGGGGCUUACCAAGGCUUUGACGGGUAGCCGGCCUGAGAGGGUGACCGGCCACAUUGGGACUGAGAUACGGCCCAGACUCCUACGGGAGGCAGAAGUGGGGAAUAUUGCACAAUGGGCGGAAGCCUGAUGCAGCAACGCCGCGUGCGGGAUGACGGCCUUCGGGUUGUAAACCGCUUUCGCCUGUGACGACGCGUGAGUGACGGUAAUGGGUAAAGAAGCACCGGCUAACUACGUG